rnacentral:ribozyme from 1 species
UCCUUUUUUCCUUUCCUUUUUCCUUCCAAAUGGACGAUCAACCCAAGCAUGAAGAGUUGGAAAUGGCCCCCAUGGGUCAAGAAGCCGGUGUCGUCAUGACUUUCCGUCUUCAAAUCCCCAACCCUGUC